AACCUUUUUUUUUUUUAUAAGUAUUUGAGAUGAUGAGAACAUCCAAUGCGAACCAUAUAGUCACUUAUGCCUUUAACUUCCCUCCAUUUCCUAGUCUUUCCAUUUCUCCAAGUUCUUACUUGGAUUAGAAACACUUGUCAUGGUUAAAAAUAAAUUUAAUUGAAUAAAAUAAAGCCAUAACUAUGGUUAAAGUAUUUAAUUCCUUCCUUUAUCCAUUCCUAAAUAAUAUCUUUUAGCGCUAGAACUUCCCAUAAUUUCUCCCUCUACGCGCCAAAUACAUCUGCUCUGAAGGAAACACCGAAAAUUAUGGUAGCAGACAAAAUCAUUCUGACUUUGAAGUUAAAAAUCAACAGAGAAAAACACAACAAGUGGAAAAACAGAGAACAAGAUAGCAAGUCGUGGAACUUCAUUUUUCUGGAAAGAACUGCUCUGAAAUUCUCGCCAGGUGACAGGGUUAAAGAAGAAGCAACCAACUCGUCGCUCCAAUACUCGACCAAAGAGUUUUGUGGAAAAGACCAGGAAGAAGAAGAAUAAGAUUCAAUCGCAAGUAUCUCCUCCAUUGCAAACUGUCCAACAUGUAAGUCACCUUGCAGGCCUCCAAGCACCAUGUCCGCCAUUGUCUAAUGCCACAACGAAUACGGGAUUGAGAGAAGGAAAUUCUUACCCAUAGUAUUCUUCAGAAUCGUCCCAGCUAACCUCUCAUGGAAGUCUAUCUCAACUCCUAAGAGAUAUUUCAUUUCAUAAUUUAAACAAGUACUCUCAAGGUUAUAGCAGGACUGAGCAACAUCCAACAGCGUAAGUCCUUCUGGUUUGCACUAAAGUGGUGUUGGCUUGGCUGGUAAAGCUUGUGUUCCAGCGGCGCACGGACCGUACUCGAGCUUUGGAUCAAUGUCCCCAGAAGCAAGGAGUAUGCCCGCGUGUUUCAACCUCUUGACUAAGGGCUUGUUUUGUUUACAGAGUUAAAAAAGGAAACUUGUCAACUAGACUUAGCGGAAUGUCCAGGGGCAAACUGGUCGUUAAGAUAGAGUCGGUGUCGGUAGCAGUUCUUGCUUAGCGGGAUCAGGUCACCCGACUUAGAAUCGAAUUCAAGCCCGGCAAUCUACGAUCUACCCAGCGCCUUAGUUUAUGUUGAGCCCGCAUUCUUCCUAGCAACCGAGUCGAUUGAUCGUCAAUAUCAUGAAAGAACGAAGGAUGCAUAGCAAUAUAACUUGUCACCACAAAGAUGAUUUCAGAACUUCUAUUUCUUCCAAAAAAAUCAACGACUGUUUCCAGCUUUGGAGUGUAGUUUAUAAAUGCUUCCAUAUUAAAAAUUAUUAUGACUUUGGUAUUUCUGUGUUGUGAAUGAGCAAGAGGAUGGAUGACUUUUGUGUUGGUGAA